ensembl:lincRNA
AUGUUAUUUCUGUUGCUCAUGGCUUGAUAAAGUCAUCAUUUCCUUUAUUGUUCCCUUAACAGGUAACACCAUGUUGUUGAGAGUGUUACCUGCUGUGUAUGAAAAGCAGCCUCAGCCAAUUAAUAGACACCUGACAGAACUCCUGGCCUUGAUGUCUCAGCUGGAACAGCCAGAACAGUACCAUCUACUACGGCUUUUGCAUGUAGCAGCAAAGAAAAAACAACUCGAGCUUUCAUGGUGGUUGGAGGAAAUGUACUAUUCCCAAUGAGGAAAUAACACAUCGAAACUUGACUUAUGAAUAGCAACACUGAAGCAUUAUUUUAAACUUCACUCUUCAACAGUAAGGCACAGAUUAAAAGAAAAAGGAACUGAAGGCUCUGAAGAUUUUAUUGUAAAUUUUAAAUUCUAAACUUGGGAGAUUUGCCUGAGUACCAGUGACGGUAGUUCAGAAGUGUAUUCCUUUCCUAAUUGGGCAUUUGAAGGAUUCAACCCAUAAUGACAUCACCCUAAACAUCCUAAUAGAGAUAGCAGGCUAUGAGCCAGUGGCUUUGAAUGGUUUUCUUCCAAUGCUGAAAGAAGUUGGUGAGAGAUUCCCCUACCUCAUUGGACAGAUGGCAAGGAUUUAUGGAGCUGUUGGGCAUGUGGAUGAAGAGAGAGCCAGGAGCUGCCUGACAUACCUGGUGAGCCAACUGGCCAACAUGGAGCAUUCGUUUCACCAUAUUCUCCUGCUGGAGAUUAAAGGCAUCACCGACACCUUCUCCUCAAUCUUGGGCCCUCAGAGCAGAGACAUCUUCCGCAUGAGCAACAGCUUCACUGCCAUUGCUAAACUCCUUACCCGACAACUGGAAAAUGCGAAGGCUGGAAGUGGCAGGAGACAAAUCAGCACUGAAAUUGAAUUCCCUGAGAAACUGGAAGAAACCAAGCUCAUAGUAGCUGAAAAUGAAGACCAUGAAAAACUUCAAGUUAAAAUCCAGGCUUUUGAAGACAAGAUAAAUGCAGAGAGCAAUACCCCUGGCUCUAUCAGAAGAUAUAGUCUGGGCCAAGUUUCUAAAGAAGAAAGAAAAAACAUUAGAUUUAACAGGUCAAAAAGUUUGGCUUUGCACACCAUGCUCACAAAGGGUGUGGGUUCAGAUGAUGGUGAAGAUGAAAACAGGGGAGAUAUACUAGCCAGCAUCUCUCUUUCAGAAAUAGACCCACUUAGCCAAGGAAAUGACAAGCUGCCCUUCAAGACAGACACUGACAGAUCACAGCUGGGAGAGUCUUCAGUUUCAUACCCAAAUAUUAUACAUAAAGACUCAGAGAAUUUGCCAGAAACUGUUAAAGAAAACUUCCAGGAAGAAACUCCAGAGACAACUGCAAGUCCUAUAGAAUACCAAGAUAAGCUCUACUUGCACUUAAAACAAAACCUCAGCAAAGUGAAAGCAUAUGCCAUGGAAAUUGGAAAGAAGAUUCCAGUCCCUGAUCAGUGUACCAUUGAAGGUAAGUGUUGUGUACUUCCCAAACCGGGGAAACUUCAGGAGUCACUGCAAAUAAACAAACAAAAAGCUCAAAUCAUG